rnacentral:rRNA from 1 species
ACACGUGCUACAAUGGAUAGUACAAAGGGUCGCGAAGCCGCGAGGUGGAGCUAAUCCCAUAAAACUAUUCUCAGUUCGGAUUGUAGGCUGCAACUCGCCUACAUGAAGCCGGAAUCGCUAGUAAUCGUGGAUCAGCAUGCCACGGUGAAUACGUUCCCGGGCCUUGUACACACCGCCCGUCACACCACGAGAGUUUGUAACACCCGAAGUCGGUAGGGUAACCUUUAUGGAGCCAGCCGCCGAAGGUGGGACAGAUAAUUGGGGUGAAGUCGUAACAAGGUAGCCGUAUCGGAAGGUGCGGCUGGAUCACCUCCUUUCUAAGGAA